rnacentral:rRNA from 1 species
UGGGGAAUAUUGGACAAUGGGCGCAAGCCUGAUCCAGCAAUGCCGCGUGUGUGAAGAAGGCCUGAGGGUUGUAAAGCACUUUCAGUGGUGAAGAAAAGCGAUCGGUUAAUACCUGGUCGUGUUGACAUUAGCCACAGAAGAAGCACCGGCUAACUCCGUGCCAGCAGCCGCGGUAAUACGGAGGGUGCAAGCGUUAAUCGGAAUUACUGGGCGUAAAGAGUACGUAGGCGGUUUGGUAAGUCAACUGUGAAAGCCCCGGGCUUAACCUGGGAACUGCAGCUGAUACUGCCAGACUAGAGUCUGUGAGAGGGUAGUGGAAUUCCUAGUGUAGCGGUGAAAUGCGUAGAUAU